ACACCUUGCAUUGUGCGGUGUGCCGCUUGCCUGCAUGACUGUCUCCCAGAGGUACCUCCUUGAGUCCUGUACGUAUAUAAUUUGCGCAGUCCUUUGGGAUGAUAAAUGUAAAUGUUGCUACUGAGUGGGGACAAUUUUGCCGUGAACCUCUCUCCCCCUCGCCAAGAUGCCCGGAUUGCCGGUUGUGAGCCCCUGCAAUGCAACCAGCAGCUAUUACGCAGGGUUACCGGCAACUGUUUGAUCUGUGUAUUAUGAACCUCCCCCCCACCUUCUAACAGCCUUCUCGGACUGACAGUGGAGAUACUGCAAAAGGAAGCGUUUCCCUCAGCCAUUUUCAGAGCACUGGCAAGGCGAAUAUCAAACAGAAGGGGGAAGGGUUGGCAUUGAUUUUAAAGGUGAAACUCCUGAUCAGAAAGUUGUACCUUCUUGUGGAAACAUGCCAGAAAUGAUUCAAGCAAAUGAGAAUAACUCAGAUUAAAACGGAAGGAGAAUGGCCUGUCUUUUACUUUAAAAAGGCCAGAUCCCGCUAACUUUAUUCACCUUGAUUAGGACCUUCUUGUGCCCGGAGCCUGUUGAUGUCAUUGCGGCUGUCUGCCGGGUAGGAGUACUGCUCAGCAGCGGUAAAGUUUGUUCAUUCUAUGGACCUUCCUUGCAGGGGCUAAUGAAAUAAUUAAGGUCUGGGGAACACCUCAGUGAAGAGGAAAAGUUUAAUUAUUCUCAUUCCUUUGUAUUUAACGGCCAGCGGCCACUGCUGCAGAGGCGUCGCAGCAAAUGACAGCACCCCCUGGCUCUGCAUCCAUUGUCUGAAUCGGUCAAUGCCGAAGCUUCCGAGGGCUGCAUAUUGCAGUACACUAUUGUCUCGCCGUGAAGCAAAUCAAAGGCACCCUUGCCGAUGGGAGGGCGGCCUGUGAUUGGAGCUACCGGAGGUGUGUGACAGCGAUUUGACAAUUAAGGGAGCAGCAGCAGAGAGCACAAUUUUGCAGCUGCUGCUGCUACAGGCACUGAAAACUCACAUUUCUGCCUCUUUCUCUCUCUCUGUCUCUCUUUGAACCAUCUGCAUGCUGAGAAGCGUACCUGCCAGGCGGCAUCCUCCAACCCCGGCAGUAUUCUUCAUCUCCCGGCAGCACCAUCCGUUGGCAGGCAGCAGCCACUCGUCCCCCAACAGAAUCCAGCUCCUGGCAGCAGCCUCCAUCCUUCAGCAGCCUCCAUUCCUUAGCAGGCAAAACCAGCCAUCCCCCUCCCCAGCAUCACCCAUGCUCUAGCAUCAUCCAUCCCCAACCACAUCCAGGCCCUGCAGCCCUUUGCUCCCUCUCCUCCCGAUGGGACAGCUGCCAACAUGAGCACCGAUGCCAAGCACCUGCCUGCAGGAUCCCAGGAGGGGAGCGGGGCUAUGUGGACUCCAUCCAGCUGGAUGGCUUCUGACGUCCCUCCCAACGCCAGCACCUCCUUGGCACAGCUGGAUCAGCUGCAAAGGGCGGAGGAGUGGGGUGGCAAUGCCGGAGAGAUUGCGGGCACGGUAGUGAUCCAGUGUCUCUACGCCCUGGUGUGCCUGCUGGGGCUGCUCGGCAACUCACUGGUGAUCUUCGUCAUCCUGCGCUACGCCAAGAUGAAGACGGCCACCAACAUUUACCUGCUCAACCUGGCCAUCGCCGACGAGCUCCUCAUGCUCAGCAUCCCCUUCGUGGCGGCCUCGGCUGCCCUGCACCACUGGCCCUUCGGCCGGGCCCUGUGCCGCACCGUGCUGGGCGUGGACGGGCUCAACAUGUUCACCAGCGUCUUCUGCCUGACCGUGCUCAGCCUGGACCGCUACAUCGCUGUGGUGCACCCGCUGCGGGCAGCCACCUACCGCCGGCCCCGGGUGGCCAAGAUGGUCAACGGAGGGGUCUGGCUGCUCUCGCUUCUGGUGGCCUCGCCCAUCCCUAUCUUCGCCGGCACCGCCAGCACGCACGAUGGCCGAGCAGUGGCCUGCAACCUGCUGUGGCCUAGUCCGGCCUGGGCGGCUGCCUUUGUGGUCUACACGACCUUGCUGGGCUUCCUGCUGCCGGUGCUGGCCAUGGGCCUCUGCUACCUGCCGAUUGUGGGCAAGAUGCGGGCGGUGGCUCAGCAGGUGGGCUGGCAGCAGUGGCGGCAUUCGGAGGGGAAGCUGACCCGGCUGGCGUUGAUCGUGGUGGCCAUGUUCAUGGUGUGCUGGAUGCCCUUUCACGUGGUUCAGCUGGUGAAUCUGCUGCUGCCCGGCCACCUGGAUGCCACCGUGAACAGUGCCUCUCUCGUCCUCAGCUACUCCAACAGCUGCGCCAACCCCAUCCUCUACGGCUUCCUCUCGGACAACUUCAGGCACUCCUUCCAUGGGGCGCUACGGCGGUGCUGCAACGCCAGCUUCUGCUGCUGCCGCCACCCGGACCUGGAUGGCGCUGAGGAGGAAGAGGAGGAGGAGCCGCUAGAUUACUGUGCCGUCCCCAAGGGGGAGGAGACGAGCAAGGGCUGCAUGUGCCCGUCUUUGCAUUGCCAGCAGGAGCCGGUGCACCCUGAGCCCUGCUGUACACCCGGCACCCUCCUUGCAAAGACCACCACCUUCUAGAUGGCAUGUGUCCUCCUCCUCGGGACCCCUGCCUUCCGAAAGGGUGCCUCCUCCUGGCCCAGCCCGCGCCUUGCAGGACCAGCAUCUUGUAAUGAGCACCAUCGCCCUGCUGCUGCAUCUCACCCUUCAGAAACAGACGAGCGGGGUAAAGAAGCCUGCGAAUUGUCCCAUGGGUCUCCUGGACUCCAGCGAGCCUCCUGGUGUUGGAUUUAGUCUCUCAUAUGCCAUCCAAAGGGAAACACUUGGAUGCACUGUUAGAUGUAAACUUUUGGGGUUGUUUUAAAACAAAACAAUAUUAUUUAUGGGCAUACAAUGAAGGAACUCUAGGGGAAACAUCUGUAUUUCAUUUACUUGUAGCUGCUUUGAAUAAAAAUUGAAGUGGACGUACAUAAUGUAAACCUCUUAGAAUAAUGAAAGCUUGCUUCCCAGUUGCUCCUUUCCUGCACCGGGGCAGGGAGAAUGCAGAGAUGAAGAGAGGGGAUGAAGUGGCUUUUAGUAUGGUCUGGGGCUAUGCAUGGCGCUGCCUGCCCUUUGGUAUAAGUCAGAGAAGCCUCAGGGUGACUCUAAUUUACAUGCUGCUUCCCAUGGCUCUCAAUUAGCUCUGAGAAGCAAUGAACAGCCAUAGUGCCAUCCAGUCCAGCCACACCCCUGAUCUAUUUCCUGUGCUGGGACCUGGAAGCCAGGCUGCUGUAGAGCAUUUCACCAGCUUUUCACUGGCCAGGUGUUCUUAGAGGGCCAUUUUCACCCCUUUGAGGUUCCUUUAUGUUAGAGUGGUUUAAAUGUCACUGAGAAUCAGGCCUGGAGACUUUAAAAGCCUGUGAGUAAUAAGGGGACAUGGCCAAAAAGUCUCUCUGAAAGGAGUUAUUAAAAUGGCGAAUGAUGGGUCCUGGAGGUGCUGCAGCAAGUGUUGGUAAUCGACUUUUAGAAAACCAAAGGGGCAAAUCCUACUCUCCGUUAUAUCAUUACCCUCCAAGGAGUUGGACCCGUGCAGCUGGGGGCGGACAGGAACAUUUGGGCUCAAAUCCUGGGAAAGAGAGCACAGCUGAGAACAAAUAAAUAAAAGGUAACUCCUGCACCAAACACAAGCCCCUGGAUGCAUGGGGCUGGAGCACAGAAACAAGGGCACUUCCGGAUGAUGUUGGGGUUUUCAUUCAUCAGCCUGGAUUUACAGUAAGGUUGGAUUCCCUUUAAUUUUCUGGUUCUGGGACUUUUGUUGCUUUGGUUUAGAGAAAUAAAGGGGGCCAGGGAAACCACAAUAAGAAUUGCCAGUAGUUUGCAAGUUCCUUGAGUUGCACCUAUGUGGACUGGUUCCACAACCUAGCUGCUGCCCUUGACCAGUUCCUAACCAUCCUUGAGUGAGAUCACUGGAAUCCAGCCACCCUGGAUGGAAGCUUUGCAAAACCAGCUAUCCUUGCCCAAAACCUCCUGACCACCCAUGGAUAGUGGGCCACCCCUUCAUCUUUUAUUGUCAAUCUUCUCUCUUAGGGGUGAAGUCCUGGACGUGAAUGGCCAAACCCCCAUGGACUUCAAGGGGGCCAGGGUUUCACCCAUCACCUUUUAAUUGCAUUUUCUUGCCAAAGAAAAUGCUUCUGGCAACCUUUCCUCCCCCAACCUUGAUCCCUCCUCAUUUCUUUGGAACAUAUGUGCCCAUCAGAUUCCCCAGCCCCCUCUGUUCCCUGCAGAAGUCAGUAAAACUAGGAUACUGGGCAGGACAUUUCUUCAUGCAGCACUUUUCUUUCUCAAAGCACUGUACAAGGAUUAAUCAAUCCUCACAACCCUCCUGAGAGGAAGGUAAUCUUUGUACAGAAGGGGAAAGUGGAGCACAGAGAGUUUAAAGAGAUGUGGCAAAGUCACACAGCGAGUCCCGGUGGAGCCCGCCAGGCCUCCCCACUCUCAGUCUUGUGUUUAAUUCACCAGUGCCACAAUCUCUGAUCAGAACACACAGAGGAGAUUCUCUUCUCCCCUGUGCAGCGCUCAAAAGUAGCUCAGAACUUUUUGCUGAAGCUUUCUAUAAACAAACUCACCCCUGGGUUGGGAAUGGGAGUAAAUUCAGCCCAAAAAGGAAUUUAUUUGUCAAAUUUAUGAGCAACUGGAAAAGGAAGAUUAUAGCAGGAGCUGCAUUUCAACUUUAACAGGUGCCACUACUGCUAAUUUAAUCUGCGGUAAUGUACAAACUUUAGGCCCAAUCCUUGCUCAUAUUAAACUCCCAUUCAAGUCAACAGGAUUUGGAUAAAGACAUAUGGCAAAAUUGUCUCAGCCACAGGAAACUCCCACAGGGCCAAAUCCUGUUCACACUCACAAAAAUCCACUGACUUCAAAGGAGUUUUGUAUGUGUGUAUAGAUAGAUAUUUCAGUGGAGUGACACGAAGGAUACAUCUGGCCCUACGUAGCUAUCAUUUUAUUUCUAUUUCAUUAACAUUGAUCUUUUAAUGUUAAUCUUGUUCUCUAUUAUUUACAGUCCAUUAUCACGGAUAAUAAUCACACUUGCAAAAUAGUUAUAAAAGAAUGUUUGGCCUGAUUUUCAAAGGUGCUGGAACUUGCAGCACGCAUGGACUCCAAUGGGAUCUGUGGGAGUUGGGC